rnacentral:rRNA from 1 species
CGACCGGCGCACGGGUGAGUAACGCGUAUGCAACCUGCCCGUUUCAGCGGGAUAACCCGGAGAAAUCCGGCCUAAUACCGCAUGUGGCCAGGGGAGGCAUCUUCUUUCGGCCAAAGGAGGCGACUCCGGAGACGGAUGGGCAUGCGUGACAUUAGCUUGUUGGCGGGGUAACGGCCCACCAAGGCGACGAUGUCUAGGGGUUCUGAGAGGAAGGUCCCCCACACUGGUACUGAGACACGGACCAGACUCCUACGGAAGGCAGCAG